UGGAAAUGAUGAAAAAUGUCUCUGAAAAUUAUGAUGAGAAUUUUCUCUAGAUAGUCAAGUACUGAUCCAG